rnacentral:rRNA from 1 species
AGUGAACACUGGCGGUAGGCCUAACACAUGCAAGUCGAACGGCAGCACAGUAAGAGCUUGCUCUUACGGGAGGCGAGGGGCGGACGGGUGAGGAAUACAUCGGAAUCUACUUUUUCGUGGGGGAAAACGUAGGGAAACUUACGCUAAUACCGCAAACGACCUACGGGUGAAAGCAGGGGAUCUUCGGACCUUGCGCGAUUGAAUGAGCCGAUGUCGGAUUAGCUAGUUGGCGGGGUAAAGGCCCACCAAGGCGACGAUCCGUAGCUGGUCUGAGAGGAUGAUCAGCCACACUGGAACUGAGACACGGUCCAGACUCCUACGGGAGGCAGCAGUGGGGAAUAUUGGACAAUGGGCGCAAGCCUGAUCCAGCCAUACCGCGUGGGUGAAGAAGGCCUUCGGGUUGUAAAGCCCUUUUGUUGGGAAAGAAAAGCAGCAGGUUAAUACCCCGCUGUUCUGACGGUACCCAAAGAAUAAGCACCGGCUAACUUCGUG